UCGGGAAUUUUGGGCAAUGGGCGAAAGCCUGACCCAGCAACGCCGCGUGAGGGAUGAAGUAUUUCGGUAUGUAAACCUCGAAAGAAUGGGAAGAAUAAAUGACGGUACCAUUUAUAAGCUCCGGCUAACUACGUGCCAGCAGCCGCGGUAAUACGUAGGGAGCAAGCGUGGUUCGGAUUUACUGGGCGUAAAGGGCGCGUAGGCGGCGCGGUAAGUCACUUGUGAAAUCUCUGAGCUUAACUCAGAACGGCCAAGUGAUACUGCUGUGCUAGAGUGCGGAAGAGGCAACCGGAAUUCUUGGUGUAGCGGUGAAAUGCGUAGAUAUCAAGAGGAACACCUGAGGCGAAGGCGGGUUGCUGGGCCGACACUGACGCUGAUGCGCGAAAGCCAG
rnacentral:rRNA from 1 species